rnacentral:rRNA from 1 species
UACGAGGGGUGCAAGCGUUGCUCGGAAUUAUUGGGCGUAAAGGGUAGGUAGGUGGUCUCAUUUGUCAGGGGUGAAAGCCUUGGGCUUAACUCAAGAAGUGCCCCUGAAACGGUGAGACUCGAGUACUGGAGAGGAUCGUGGAAUUCCCGGUGUAGCGGUGAAAUGCGUAGAGAUCGGGAGGAACACCAGAGGCGAAGGCGGCGACCUGGACAGUUACUGACACUCAACUACGAAAGCGUGGGGGAGCAAACAGG